rnacentral:rRNA from 1 species
UACGAAGGGGGCUAGCGUUGUUCGGAAUCACUGGGCGUAAAGCGCAUGCAGGCGGAUCAUUAAGUCGGGGGUGAAAUCCCGAGGCUCAACCUCGGAACUGCCUUCGAUACUGAUGAUCUUGAGUCCGGGAGAGGUGAGUGGAACUCCGAGUGUAGAGGUGAAAUUCGUAGAUAUUCGGAAGAACACCAGUGGCGAAGGCGGCUCACUGGCCCGGUACUGACGCUGAGAUGCGAAAGCGUGGGGAGCAAAC